rnacentral:rRNA from 1 species
CUAACGCUGUGGCGUGUNUUAGUCAUGCAAGUCGAACGAGAAAGCCCUCUUCGGAGGGUGAGUAAAGUGGCGAACGGGUGAGUAACGCGUGGGUAACCUACCUUCGAGUUGGGGAUAACACCUCUAACGAGGUGCUAAUACCGAAUGAUGAGAUGGGGGUUCAUGCCUUCAUCUUUAAAGGUGGCCUCUACUUGUAAGCUGUCGCUUGGAGAUGGACCCGCGUCCUAUUAGCUAGUUGGCGGUGUAACGGACCACCAAGGCGAUGAUGGGUAGCCGGCCUGAGAGGGCGAACGGCCACACUGGAACUGAGACAAGGUCCAGUCCCCUACGGGGGCCAGCAGUCUAGAAAUUUGCACAAUCGACGAAAGUCGGAUGCAGUGACGCCACGUGGAGGAUGAAGCCCUUAGGGGCGUAAACUCCUGUCAGGAGGGAAGAAGGCGCGGCCGCUAAUAACGGUCGUUGCUUGACGGUACCUUCAGAGGAAGCUCCGGCUAACUACGUGCCAGCAGCCGCGGUAAUACGUAGGGAGCGAGCGUUGUUCGGAUUUACUGGGCGUAAAGAGCACGUAGGCGGGUACGCAAGUCGGUUGUGAAAUCCUCUGGCUCAACCAGAGAACGGCAGCCGAAACUGCAUACCUUGAGUCCAGCAGAGGGAAUCGGAAUCGAGAGUGUAGCGGUGAAAUGCGUAGAUAUUCUCGAGAACACCGGUGGCGAAGGCGGAUUCCUGGGCUGGCACUGACGCUGAGGUGCGAAAGUGUGGGGAGCGAACAGGAUUAGAUACCCUGGUAGUCCACACCGUAAACGAUGGGUACUAGGUGUUGGAGGUUAUUGACCCCUUCAGUGCCGUAGCUAACGCAUUAAGUACCCCGCCUGGGGAGUACGGUCGCAAGACUGAANC